rnacentral:rRNA from 1 species
AACGAACGCUGGCGGCAGGCUUAACACAUGCAAGUCGAACGCCCCGCAAGGGGAGUGGCAGACGGGUGAGUAACGCGUGGGAAUCUACCCAGAUCUUCGGAACAACUGAGGGAAACUUCAGCUAAUACCGGAUACGCCAUACGGGGGAAAGAUUUAUCGGUUCUGGAUGAGCCCGUGUUGGAUUCGCUAGUUGGUGGGGUAAUGGCCUACCAAGGCGAGGAUACAUAGCUGGUAUGAGAGGAUGAUCAGCCACACUGGGACUGAGUAACGGCCCAGACUACUGCGGGAGGGAGCAGUGGUGAAUAUUGGACAAUGGGCGAAAGCCUGAUCCAGCCCUGCCGCGUGAGUGAUGAAGGCCUGAGGGUUGUAAAGCUCUUUCAUUAGGGAAGAUAAUGACGGUACCUACAGAAGAAGCCCCGGCUAACUUCGUGCCAGCCGCCGCAGUAAUAC